rnacentral:ncRNA from 1 species
UGAAAAACGAUGACGAAGAGUAGUACAUUUAAUUUGAAUGCCUAGAGAGUCUGUGGUUGGUGCAAACAGAUCAUUCAUUAAAUGGAAUGGACUUCCGAGUUAGCUUGAUGAACGUUUCUAUUAGUAGUCCAGCUCGUCGCCUUCACGUUACGAAGUAAAGUGGCCAAUUGAGGCAAGCUGGGUGGUACCGCGGAUUUUAACAUCAUUCGUCCCUUCU